rnacentral:rRNA from 1 species
GAUGAACGCUGGCGGCGUGCCUAAUACAUGCAAGUCGAGCGAACGGACGAGAAGCUUGCUUCUCUGAUGUUAGCGGCGGACGGGUGAGUAACACGUGGAUAACCUACCUAUAAGACUGGGAUAACUUCGGGAAACCGGAGCUAAUACCGGAUAAUCUUUUGAACCGCAUGGUUCAAUAGUGAAAGACGGUCUUGCUGUCACUUAUGGAUGGAUCCGCGCUGCAUUAGCUAGUUGGUAAGGUAACGGCUUACCACGGCAACGAUGCAUAGCCGACCUGAGAGAGGGAUCGGCCACACUGGAACUGAGACACGGUCCAGACUCCUACGGGAGGCAGCAGUAGGGAAUCUUCCGCAAUGGGCGAAAGCCUGACGGAGCAACGCCGCGUGAGUGAUGAAGGUCUUCGGAGCGGAAAACUCUGUUAUUAGGGAAGAACAGAUGUGGAAGUAACUGUGCACAGCUUGACGGUACCUAAUCAGAAAGCCACGGCUAACUACGUG